rnacentral:rRNA from 1 species
GAUGUCGGCUCAUCACAUCCUGGGGCUGAAGUAGGUCCCAAGGGUAUGGCUGUUCGCCAUUUAAAGUGGUACGCGAGCUGGGUUUAGAACGUCGUGAGACAGUUCGGUCCCUAUCUGCCGUGGGCGUUGGAUGAUUGAUUGGGGCUGCUCCUAGUACGAGAGGACCGGAGUGGACGCAUCACUGGUGUUCCGGUUGUGUCGCCAGACGCAUUGCCGGGUAGCUAAAUGCGGAAGAGAUAAGUGCUGAAAGCAUCUAAGCACGAAACUUGCCAAGAGAUGAGUCAUCCCUGACUUUAAGUCAGUAAGGGUUGUUGUAGACUACGACGUAGAUAGGUCUGGUGUGUAAGUGUAGUGAUACAUUGAGCUAACAGAUACUAAUUGCCCGAGAGGCUUAGCUAUACAACGCUCAAG